rnacentral:ncRNA from 1 species
UGACCUCAGAUCAGGCAAGGCUACCCGCUGAAUUUAAGCAUAUUAAUAAGCGGAGGAAAAGAAACUAACAAGGAUUCCCCUAGUAAUGGCGAAUGAAGCGGGAAAAGCUCAAAUUUAAAAUCUCCGUUGCUUGCAACGGCGAAUUGUAGUUUCGAGAAGCACUUUCUCGGCGGAUCCGAGGUCGUCCAAGUUGCUUGGAACAGCACGUCGUAGAGGGUGAAAACCCCGUCUGCGGCGACCUCGGCCGUUCACGAUGUGCUUUCGACGAGUCGGGUUGUUUGGGAAUGCAGCCCAAAAUGGGUGGUAAACUCCAUCUAAAGCUAAAUAUUGGCACGAGACCGAUAGCGAACAAGUACCGUGAGGGAAAGAUGAAAAGCACUUUGAAAAAAGAGUUAAAAAGUACGUGAAACCGUUAAAAGGGAAACGAAUGGGGUUAGCAAUGCGUCGUGCGAGAUUCAGCCGGUGGGUGGGCCAGGCGGGCGGUUGGCGGAUCUGAAUGGACCGCUGCCGUUCGGGUUGGUUUCCCGACCGUCGCACUUCUCGCAGGCGCGCGCCAACGUCGGUUAGGGCUGGGUCUCAAAGGCGGUGGAAAGGUAGGUUUUGACUCUCGGGCCCGAAGUGUUACAGUCCUCCGUUUGUCAUGGCCCGGACCUGACCGAGGAGCUUGCGGUGCAUGCCGUUCGGCUAGGGUCCCGUCUUCCCGGUCGGUCGUCGAAUGCGGUGGACUGCGUGCAGUGCGCCGCGACUGCUGCCGGUCGCGAGGGCGGUGAUUUCGUACUAUGCACCCACGACGUUGGCGGUCAUAUGGCCUCAUCCGACCCGUCUUGAAACACGGACCAAGGAGUCUAACAUGUGUGCGAGUCUUUGAGUGACCGAAACUCCGAGGCGUAAUGAAAGUGAAGGCGACUUCGGUCGCUGAGGUGAGAGCCUUUUUCCAAAAAAAGAAGGCGCAUCAUUGACCGACCUAUUCUACUCUUAGAAAGGUUUGAGUAAGAGCGCAUCUGUUGGGACCCGAAAGAUGGUGAACUAUGCCUGAAUAGGGUGAAGCCAGAGGAAACUCUGGUGGAGGCUCGUAGCGAUUCUGACGUGCAAAUCGAUCGUCAAAUUUGGGUAU